rnacentral:snRNA from 1 species
GUGUACAUAUACAUGGCGGCACAUAUUCUAAAAUUGGAAUGAUACAGAGAAGAUUAGUAUGGCUCCUGUGCAAGGAUGACACACAGAUUCGUGAAGCAUUCCAUAUUUUU